rnacentral:rRNA from 1 species
UAGUGGCGAACGGGUGAGUAACACGUGGGCAAUCUGCCCUUCACUCUGGGACAAGCCCUGGAAACGGGGUCUAAUACCGGAUAAUACUUUCUCUCUCAUGGGGGAAGGUUGAAAGCUCCGGCGGUGAAGGAUGAGCCCGCGGCCUAUCAGCUAGUUGGUGGGGUAAUGGCCUACCAAGGCGACGACGGGUAGCCGGCCUGAGAGGGCGACCGGCCACACUGGGACUGAGACACGGCCCAGACUCCUACGGGAGGCAGCAGUGGGGAAUAUUGCACAAUGGGCGAAAGCCUGAUGCAGCGACGCCGCGUGAGGGAUGACGGCCUUCGGGUUGUAAACCUCUUUCAGCAGGGAAGAAGCGAAAGUGACGGUACCUGCAGAAGAAGCGCCGGCUAACUACGUGCCAGCAGCCGCGGUAAUACGUAGGGCGCAAGCGUUGUCCGGAAUUAUUGGGCGUAAAGAGCUCGUAGGCGGCUUGUUGCGUCGGUUGUGAAAGCCCGGGGCUUAACCCCGGGUCUGCAGUCGAUACGGGCAGGCUAGAGUGUGGUAGGGGAGAUCGGAAUUCCU